AUGCUCCAGCCUCCAGCCACAGUGCCUCUCAGAGCUACGCAGCAGGACGCUCAUGCCUCCAGCCACAGUGCCUCUCAGAGCUACGCAGCAGCACGCUCCAGCCUCCAGCCACAGUGCCUCUCAGAGCUACGCAGCAGCACGCUCCAGCCCCCAGGAACAGUGCCUCUCAGAGCUACGCAGCAGGACGCUCCAUCCUGCAGCCAGUGCCUCUCAGAGCUACGCAGCAGCAUGCUCCAGCCACAGUGCCUCUCAGAGCUACGCAGCAGCACGCUCCAUCCUCCAGCCACAGUGCCUCUCAGAGCUACGCAGCAGGAUGCUCCAGCCUCCAGCCACAGUGCCUCUCAGAGCUACGCAGCAGGACGCUCCAUCCUCCAGCCACAGUGCCUCUCAGAGCUACGCAGCAGCACGCUCCAGCCUCCAGCCACAGUGCCUCUCAGAGCUACACAGCAGGACACUCCAGCUUCCAGCCACAGUGCCUCUCAGAGCUAUGCAGCAGGACGCUCCGGCCUCCAGCCACAGUGCCUCUCAGAGCUACGCAGCAGCACGCUCCAGCCACAGUGCCUCUCAGAGCUACGCAGCAGGAUGCUCCAUCCUCCAGCCACAGUGCCUCUCAGAGCUACGCAGCAGGACGCUCCAGCCUCCAGCCACAGUGCCUCUCAGAGCUACGCAGCAGCACACUACAUCCUCCAGCCACAGUGCCUCUCAGAGCUACGCAGCAGGAUGCUCCAGCCUCCAGCCACAGUGCCUCUCAGAGCUACGCAGCAGGACACUCCAGCCUCUAGCCACAGUGCCUCUCAGAGCUACGCAGCAGGACGCUCCAUCCUCCAGCCACAUUGCCUCUCAGAGCUACGCAACAGGACGCUCCAGCCUCCAGCCACAGUGCCUCUCAGAGCUACGCAACAGGACGCUUCAGCCUCCAGCCACAGUGCCUAUCAGAGCUACGCAGAAGGACGCUCCAGCCUCCAGCCACAGUUUCUCUUAGAGCUACGCAACAGGACGCUCCAGCCUCCAGCCACAGUGCCUCUCAGAGCUACACAGCAGGACGCUCCAGCCCCAGCCACAGUGCCUCUCAGAGCUACGCAGCAGCACGCUCCAGCUUCCAGCCACAGUGCCUCUCAGAGCAAUGCGCAGGACGCCCCAGCCUCCAGCCACAGUGCCUCUCAGAGCUACGCAGCAGCACGCUCCAGCUUCCAGCCACAGUGCCUCUCAGAGCUACGCAACAGGACGCUCCAUCCUCCAGCCACAGUGCCUCUCAGAGCUACGCAGCAGGACGCUCCAGCCUCUAGCCACAGUGCCUCUCAGAGCUACGCAGCAGGACGCUCCAUCCUCCAGCCACAUUGCCUCUCAGAGCUACGCAACAGGACGCCCCAGCCUCCAGCCACAGUGCCUCUCAGAGCUACGCAACAGGACGCUCCAGCCUCCAGCCACAGUGCCUCUCAGAGCUACACAGCAGGACACUCCAGCCUCCAGCCACAGUGCCUCUCAGAGCUACGCAACAGGACGCUCCAGCCUCCUGCCACAGUGCCUCUCAGAGCUACACAGCAGGACGCUCCAGCCUCCAGCCACAGUGCCUCUCAGAGCUACGCAACAGGACGCUCCAGCCUCCAGCCACAGUGCCUCUCAGAGCUACGCAGCAGGAUGCUCCAGCCUCCAGCCACAGUGCCUCUCAGAGCUACGCAACAGGACACUCCAGCCUCCAGCCACAUUGCCUCUCAGAGCUACACAGCAGGACGCUCCAGCCCCCAGCCACAGUGCCUCUCAGAGCUACGCAGCAGCAUGCUCCAGCCUCCAGCCACAGUGCCUCUCAGAGCUAAGCAACAGGACGCUCCAGCCUCCAGCCACAGUGCCUCUCAGAGCUACACAGCAGGACGCUCCAGCCCCCAGCCACAGUGCCUCUCAGAGCUACGCAGCAGCAUGCUCCAGCCUCCAGCCACAGUGCCUCUCAGAGCUACACAGCAGGACGCUCCAGCCCCCAGCCACAGUGCCUCUCAGAGCUACGCAGCAGGACAAUACAGAAUCCCAUUAUCCAGCCUUUAA
rnacentral:lncRNA from 1 species